GUGUUGGUAGUAUAGUAGUUAGCAUAGCUGCUUUCCAAGCAGUUGACCCAGGUUCGAUUCCCAGCCAAUGCA
rnacentral:tRNA from 1 species